AUAUCAGUCAUGCAUAGCAUAUCAAUAAGCGGAGGAAAAGAAACUAACAAGGAUUCCCUUAGUAACGGCGAGUGAAGCGGGAAGAGCUCAAAUUUGAAAUCUUCAAGGUUUUACCUUGACGAAUUGUAGUUUAAAGAAGUGUUUUCUGUUGAAGUUUUGGUAAAAGUUCUUUGGAAUAGGACAUCAUAGAGGGUGAGAAUCCCGUAUUUGAUCCAUUACUUUCAGCUUUGUGAUACACUUUCAAAGAGUCGGAUUGUUUGGGAAUGCAGUCCAAAAUGGGUGGUAAAUUUCAUCUAAAGCUAAAUAUUGGCGAGAGACCGAUAGCGAACAAGUACCGUGAGGGAAAGAUGAAAAGAACUUUGAAAAGAGAGUUAAACAGUACGUGAAAUUGUCAAAAGGGAAGCGUUUGACACCAGUGUUGUUUUCUCGAAAAUCAAUUAAAAAGAGUUGGAUUUUGUGUUGUAUUGACUUUAUCAGCUUUCUUCACUCUUUUCCAGCUUUUUUUAAUGCACUUUUCGUUUAACAAGUCAACAUCAGUUUCUUUUGUUGUAAAAAGGUCAUUGGAAGGUGGCUUUCUCUUCGGAGAAAGUGUUUAUAGCCUUUGACUCAUGCAAUCGGAGAGACUGAGGUCUGCAGCGUAGAUCCUUCGGGGUUAGAUACAUUUGUGCUAAGUUAUAGCUUUUCAUAGACAACUUGUUGACUAUGUUUAGUCUUGUAGCUUACUCGCUUAUGCUAUUUUACCUACGCUUAGGAUGUUGAACUCUAUCACACACAG
rnacentral:rRNA from 1 species